UAUGAGGGCCACUGACUAUGUUUGAAGGAAACCAUGUAAGCCUGGAGAAGAAAAUAAAGCUGUCAAUAUCCUCAGGCUACUCUACCGAGGUUCAGAGAAGGGGAGCACCCGGCUGGCCUAGUCGGUGGGGGUUGUGAGUUUGACCCCCGUGUUGGGUGUAGAGAGUACUUAAAAAUAAAGUCUUAAAAAAAAAAAAGCUCAGAUAACAGAAAGGGGAGAGGAUAAGUAGGAUGGUGGGGUGGGGGGGGGGCGCGGAGUUCAGAGAGUAAGAUACAGCUGUAAUAUUAAAAAAUAUCAGUUGAGGGGUGGCUCAGUCAGUUAAGUAUCUGACUUCAGCUCAGGUCAUGAUCUCGCAGUUCUUGAGUUCGAGCCCUGCAUAAGGCUCUGUGCUGACAGCUCGGAGCCUGGAACCUGCUUUGGAUUCUGUGUCUCCCUCUCUGCCCCACCUGCUCUGCCUCUGCUGCUUGUGUGCUGUCUCUAAAAAAUACACGUUAAAAAAACUUAUUAAAAUUAUCAGUUGAACCAUAUGAAACUGCCCAUGUUUUCACUGUGUUUGACCUACAUAAACAACAGUAAAAAACUCGGUAUAUGAAUUGUGUGAUAAAGUAGAAACUCUCAGAAAAAUGAGAAGACCUACAGGUGGAAAACAGAAGAAAAGGAAAUUGAGAAAUAAUUCAAUGAAGUUUCCUAGAACUGAAGGACAUUUGUUUCUAGGUUGAAAAAUCGAAAGGGCUCAUGAGUGUGGUGGAUGAAAACAGAUUCAAAGCAAGACUCAACAAUUACAGAAAACUAGAAACAAACUAACAAACUUCCGAUUAGAGAAAAUAUUCACUGAAGGAAGAAGAAUCAAAUGGUUUUGGAUUUGGACUCUGAAUGCAGAGAAGGAAGCGCCCACUUUCUGAAACAUCACAGUUGCCAGAUCCAGCUAUCAGUUCAACGUGAGGGAUAAUAAAACCAUUUUCGGACGUACCAAGUCUAGAUGUCCUCCGCGAAAUCAGAGAGACAAGAAGAAACAUGGGGUCAAGGAAAAUAGGGACCCUACACAAGACAGAGACCAAGAAAAUUUCUAGGCUGGCAGCUGGGCAGCAGGUAGAAGUCUAGGAGGAGAAAACAGACAGGAAGGGAGUCCAGGAGAAAGGGGUCCCGCCAAACACUGGUCAGGGCCCGGGGUGUCUGGGGAGCUCAGCCAGUUAAGUGACUUUGGCUCCGGUCAUGAUCUCGAGGUUCCUGAGUUCGAGCCCCACGAGUCAGCACAGAGCCUGCUUUGGGUCCUCUACCUUUCUCUCCCUACCCCUCCCCUGCCCGCACGCUGUCUCAAAAAUAGACAUUAAAAAACAAAAACCAAAAAACCCACAACUGGUUGGGGCCACAGAGAGGAGUUUGUGUGUGAGGGAAGAACGGUAUUCAGGUCUGUUGUAGGGUCUGCUUAGAGACUAAGCAAACAAAAAAAGAGGCAAUUAACUCUAGGAAAAAGAAAAUUUAUACAAGGGAAAUGUACUCAUAAUGCACUAUUUAGUUCAACAGUGGACAAUACUUAUGCGGCCACAGAAAGAGACUUAACCACGAAUCGGAAAGAUAAGGGGAGAGACGAUGUAAGAGCAGCAAUCCUGUGUUCUACACAGCAAGCCAGUCCUGAAACAGGUCAACUGUCCUCUUUGUUGUGCCAGACUUUUUACCGUUAACUAGUUAUCCUGAUGGCAAAGGAAAACUUUUUAAAAAGCAAUGAACCUAAAAGAGACUGGGUCUCAAGGUCUGCCUUCCCGCCCGGCAUGGCUCUGAACAGGAACUCGAGACACCUCCGUGUACCGAGGCCAAGGGGUGAGCUUCGUGGAAAAACACAGAAGCGCGUUUGCACACGACGGCACUGCAGGGGAAUCUCCGCUCCACACGCAGGGUAACCGACAGUAAACAGAGUGGCUGUAACACCAAGGCGCCCCCAGGCCCUCGUCCGCAGGACAGCCCCGGCAUCCGUGUAAGACCUUGAGUGGAGCCUGGAGUCGGGAUGGUCAGCCCCGCCUGGCUCUCUCCUCUCUGCCAACACGGGGGCGGGACGGCCCUUGCCGCGACUCCCCGAGGAGGAGCAGGGAUGGCUUCCUCGGUACAGAAUUCUCUCGUACCACCAACUUCCCCAUUCCCCCUCAAACGUGGCACAGCUGACAGGAAGCUGUUGAGCUACUAAGCGUGAGGUGAAGGUGCUAAUUUCUGGAGAAAAAAGCACUUUUUGAGGGUGUGUGUAAAUCUUACGUCCACAGCCCGACCCAUUACUGUCAGUCACCCCCAGGGCCUGAAAACCCGACUCCGGCCCCACGGGCGAGUAGAGGGAGCGCGGACUCUGCAGACACAGGACCGCAGCGACACCAGCCGUACGGCUUCCUUCUCUCCGACGGGCCCCUUGCUAGCAGGGUCACAUAAGCGAGGACAACCCCAGCAGACGCUGAGCUACCUCAGGGAUCAAAGCCUGCCUGGCCUCACAGCCCGCGGCUCCCCUGCUCUCUCCCCGCUGCGGGAGCCGGCUUGUAUGCGCCACCGGGGAGCAGUUCCUCCGGCCCGUAUCGUGGGUCAGGAACCACUGGCGCGUGCUCUCGCUGCCACCAGCGCUAAUCUUUUGGCAGCAGUUAUUACCAAUCCAGUGAUAACUCCUGUGUUCACGGUUUCUCCACCAGCCCAGGCUGUCUGCCUUGUUUUCAGGUAUGUCCCAGCCCUGACCCUGUGACCCUGUAACAGCAGGCACACAGCGGAUUUCCCCACAAAGGUGGAAUUCCCAGCCUGUCCCCCAGGGUCCCAGGCAGAGCCUGCUGGGUGCCUCUGACUGACCUGAUAGGUUGAUUUCGGUUAAGGAGUCUCGGGUGGUGGUGCCCACAGCGGUGAGCAGGUUGAUGGACUGGUCAGUAACGUGGUUACAGUAGCUGAGGUGGAGCUUGGACAGCAGGGGCAUGUGGCGUAUGAUGAGCCGCAGGGAGGCAUCUGUGAUGUCCAGGCCUGCUAGACGCAGCUCCACAAUGUUCCGGAGCUUGCUCCGAUUGUCCAUCUGACCUGAGGGGGCAGGAAGGAGAGAGGCAGCAUGUCAACCUGACCGGGGAGAUGGGGUCACAAUGACCUAACACUCUAGAGGGCCUACUGGCCACACGUCACACUUCAGUUUCACUUAGCCAUUGAGUGUUUCCCCAAACUGGUUCCCACGUUUAAAAAUAUAAGGGUUCCACAUCAACUCUCCCACUUCUGGAUUCCUGAAAAAUCAGAACGUCUAGAAACAGCCCACAUUCUACCCAGCAGUCCUCAGCCAACUAGAGCAGAGACUGCACAGCAUCUCUGACCACCAGGGUUUCCUCAUUUGAGCUACAGGCAGGGAGCAAUGACCCUCACAACCCAAGCCAGAAGGUUCCAUCUUGUGAGCUCAUCUCCAACUACACUGACCCCCGUGCCCACGGAAGCUUGAAGCCAACGAAGGACAAAUUAACAGAGAAGUAGUCAGACGCAUGCAAAGCCCCCACAGUGAAGUCCUGGGUGCGCAAAGAAGCCUCUGCUCUCAGUGGUCCCUUCCCUGCCUGAAGCUGAGUGAGAACAUAACAGCAUCCUCCAGAAAGGGCUGGGACCAGAGAAGGCUUGAGAACCCAUGCACCCGGUGGGGCCUGUAGUGAAAACCAGAUCCGACGGCAGAGCCUGGUCAGACUGCCUCCGCCUCGACCCCCUUGGGCCCGGCCACUCACCUGGCCUGUUAUCUGUGGGCGGGGACAGGAGAUCCCGCAUCUGGGCAUCCUUUAGUCCUUCCACCCACUGGACAUCCAGGGUCCGGAGCAAAGGACAGCUGGAGCUACAGAGAGCUGAGACGGCGAUCCACGAGCAGCCCGACAGCACCAAGUCUCGGAGCCCUGGGGGACAGGGGAGGGCUGGCAGGUCAGGCGAUGCACCCCAGCCCCCACCACUGCACCUCCAGGGUCCCUGGCCCAGUGCUCACCAGGCAACCGGUUGAUGAGCCAGCUCAGCUGUUUCUUGGAGAUAUUGGUCCAGCUGAGGUCCAGGGAGACAGGCUGCCGCCGGAUGAUGCCACUCAGCAUCAGGGGCG